GAUGAACGCUAGCUACAGGCUUAACACAUGCAAGUCGAGGGGCAUCAAGAAGAAAGCUUGCUUUCUUUGCUGGCGACCGGCGCACGGGUGAGUAACACGUAUCCAACCUGCCCUUUACUCGGGGAUAGCCUUUCGAAAGAAAGAUUAAUACCCGAUGGCAUAAUGAUUCCGCAUGGUUUCAUUAUUAAAGGACUCCGGUAAAGGAUGGGGAUGCGUUCCAUUAGGUUGUUGGUGAGGUAACGGCUCACCAAGCCUUCGAUGGAUAGGGGUUCUGAGAGGAAGGUCCCCCACAUUGGAACUGAGACACGGUCCAAACUCCUACGGGAGGCAGCAGUGAGGAAUAUUGGUCAAUGGGCGCUAGCCUGAACCAGCCAAGUAGCGUGAAGGAUGAAGGCUCUAUGGGUCGUAAACUUCUUUUAUAUAAGAAUAAAGUGCAGUAUGUAUACUGUUUUGUAUGUAUUAUAUGAAUAAGGAUCGGCUAACUCCGUGCCAGCAGCCGCGGUAAUACGGAGGAUCCGAGCGUUAUCCGGAUUUAUUGGGUUUAAAGGGAGCGUAGGUGGACUGGUAAGUCAGUUGUGAAAGUUUGCGGCUCAACCGUAAAAUUGCAGUUGAUACUGUCAGUCUUGAGUACAGUAGAGGUGGGCGGAAUUCGUGGUGUAGCGGUGAAAUGCUUAGAUAUCACGAAGAACUCCGAUUGCGAAGGCAGCUCACUGGACUGCAACUGACACUGAUGCUCGAAAGUGUGGGUAUCAAACCAGG
rnacentral:rRNA from 1 species